CUUCUGAAGAAGUUAACGCGUUUGAAUAUGGAUGGAAAUAAUUUGAUACAGAUUCCUUCAGAAUUGCCAUCUACAUUAGAAGAACUUAAAAUCAAUGAGAACAAUCUUCAGGCUAUUGACAAAGAAAGUUUAUCAGACUUAUAUCAACUGGUCACCUUAGAACUGGAAGGAAAUAAUCUCAGUGAAGUCAAUGUCAAUCCUUUAGCUUUCAAACCUUUGAAGAGCCUAGCCUACUUGCGUCUGGGAAAAAAUAAAUUUAGAAUUAUACCGCAGGGUCUUCCUGCUUCUAUUGAGGAAUUACACCUAGAAAAUAACCAAAUUGAAGAAAUAACUGAAAUUUGUUUCAAUCAUACCAGAAAGAUCAAUGUCAUUGUACUACGUUAUAACAAAAUUGAAGAAAAUAGGAUUGCUCCUCUAGCCUGGAUAAAUCAAGAAAAUCUAGAAUCCAUUGAUCUCUCGUACAACAAGCUCUAUCAUGUCCCCUCCUAUCUACCCAAGUCCUUGCUGCACCUCGUGCUCCUUGGGAACCAGAUUGAACGGAUCCCUGGCUAUGUGUUUGGUCAUAUGGAACCAGGCCUGGAAUACUUGUACCUGUCAUUUAACAAACUUGCUGAUGAUGGCAUGGACCGUGUCUCCUUCUACGGGGCAUAUCAUUCCCUGAGAGAAUUAUUUCUGGAUCACAAUGACUUAAAAUCUAUACCACCUGGGAUACAAGAAAUGAAAGCACUACAUUUUCUGAGGCUGAACAAUAACAAGAUACGGAACAUUCUUCCAGAAGAAAUUUGCAAUGCUGAAGAGGAUGAUGACUCAAAUCUGGAACAUCUUCAUCUUGAAAACAAUUACAUUAAAAUUAGAGAAAUACCAUCUUACACAUUUUCAUGCAUAAGAUCAUAUUCAAGUAUUGUUCUUAAACCACAAAAUAUCUAGUAAUUCCAAGUUUUCCUUUACUGUUUAUAAACUUUACUCAUGUAUUUGUAGUAGCUGCAUUUGUCAUUAACAAGAGAGACAUAAUCCUCCUGUUAUUCUCAGUAUCAUUAUAUGCUAGUCAAUCUGAUUCACUAAUACACAGAUGAACCACCAAAAUAUACCUAAAAGGCAUAGUCUCUAGGAGUUUUAUAAGGUAAAAUCUCUCAGUUUCCCACCUUUAGAAAGAGGCCAUCUCACUAGAAUUGGAUAUUAUGCGUACUGAGCUAGACCAGAAGAGUCUGGAACAAAAUAAACACAGCCUUUAUAAUCAACUUGAGUUCUGGUGUUAGCUGAGAACUCUGUAAGUCCCUUUAAAAAUUAUGUAUCUUUUGGUUCAAGAUUAAGAAGCAUAAUGACAAGAAAAAAAGCAGGCAGAAUUUAUGAAUAAGUGUUGUUUAUUAUUCUGUUAAAACAACAAUUUGUUAAUUUCUUGUAAGGCCCUGGGCUAUAAUUACUGGUAUAAAUAUAACUAAGUAUUGGGGUAGCUUUCAUUUCUUUCAUCAAUUACAUGUGUAAAAUGAAAACACUACUGUAAUGUUAAUUUCCGGUUUUGAAAAUCGUAUUACGGUUAUGUACAUUGUUAACAUUAAGGAAAGCUGGCAGAAGGGUGUGCAUGAAUUCUAUACAUUUUUGAAACUUUUCUAUAAUUCUAAAAUUAUUUUUUAAAGUUAAACAGUAUAUUAAGAUUACCUUCACCAUUCUUUACUCAAGAUUAAAAUAUUUUUUGAAAAGCAGUAGAGUUUGCUUAAAAUACAAGUUAACUAUUCUUGACUAUAACCUUGUAAAGGUAAAUCUAAUGUAUAAAUUUUUGCACCACUGGUCAUAGCAUCUAUCUCCUUUGCCUUAAUUUACUGAAAUAUAUCAUUUUAUUCCGUUCAAUUGAACAUAAAGCUAUGUCUUUACUAUGUAUUGGCCCUACCAAAACCAUAUAUUAAAAUUUUUUAACAUAAAAAAAAAAAAAAAAAAAAAA